AGGACUUGUCCAGUGACCAUAGACCUUCUGUGGCCUUUACUGGAAGCUGCUGUGGGACAGACUCUUCACAAACUUCCCCAGGGGAAGUCACCAGAAAGAGAGAGACCUCUACUAUUGUCAAAAGUAUUUCCCUGUUCUUGUUCAGAGCAGGAUUCUGAGGAAGACACAGCUAUUCUGCUGUGAAAAAUACAUCUGCAGCCAACUACUCCUGCUGAAUGCUUAAGAGGGCAGAAAACCAGCUCUAGCCUAAAAAGGCUGAAGUGACUCUUUUGGAAUUUGAACUGAAGCUCCACCCGACAGCUCAAGUGUAGGAAUGCACUGUUACACAAUUCCUGACAUUCAGGUUGAAUUUCGGCAUGGUCACAAGCCAGCACCACGGUCUGGCACGAGAAAGCUGCCAGGUUGAGUCGACUUCUGAACCUAAAUUCCUUCAACGUGGUUAUGAAUAGAAGUGCAGCCCCAGACUGGAAAAGAAGGCCCUGAAAAACACACAUAUGAAAGAGUAAUUGUUGCUUUUACUGUGAAGAACAUUG